rnacentral:tRNA from 5 species
GGGCGAUUAGCUCAGUUGGUUAGAGUGCAGCGUUGACAUCGCUGAGGUCGUAGGUUCGAAUCCUUCAUCGCCCACCA